rnacentral:rRNA from 1 species
UACGUAGGGUGCAAGCGUUAAUCGGAAUUACUGGGCGUAAAGCGUGCGCAGGCGGUUGUGUAAGUCUGUCGUGAAAUCCCCGGGCUCAACCUGGGAAUUGCGAUGGAGACUGCACGGCUAGAGUGUGUCAGAGGGGGGUAGAAUUCCACGUGUAGCAGUGAAAUGCGUAGAGAUCGGUAGGAACACCCGUGGCGAAGGCGGUCUCCUGGGGCAUUCUUGACGCUGAUGCGCGAAAGCCAGGGGAGCAAACGGG